AUUGAACGCUGGCGGCAUGCCUAACACAUGCAAGUCGAGCGGCGCGGCGGACGGGUGAGUAAUGCCUAGGAAUCUGCCUGGUAGUGGGGGACAACGUCCGGAAACAGGCGCUAAUACCGCAUACUAUCAGAUGAGCCUAGGUCGGAUUAGCUAGUUGGUGGGGUAAAGGACUACCAAGGCGACGAUCCGUAACUGGUCUGAGAGGAUGAUCGGUCACACUGGAACUGAGACAGGGGCCAGACUCCUACGGGAGGCAGCAGGGGGGAAUAUUGGGCAAUGGGCGAAAGCCUGAUCCAGCCAGGCCGCGGGUGUGAAGAAGGUCUUCGGAUUGUAAAGCUCUUUAAGUAGGGAGGCGUUACCAACAGAGUAAGCACCGGCUAACUUCGUGCCAGCAGCCGCGGUAAUUC
rnacentral:rRNA from 1 species